GAUGAACGCUGGCGGCGUGCCUAAUACAUGCAAGUCGAGCGAACAGACGCGGAGCUUGCUCCUCUGACGUUAGCGGCGGACGGGUGAGUAACACGUGGAUAACCUACCUAUAAGACUGGGAUAACUUCGGGAAACCGGAGCUAAUACCGGAUAAUAUAUUUAACCGCAUGGUUCAAUAGUGAAAGACGGUUUUGCUGUCACUUAUAGAUUGAUCCGCGCCGCAUUAGCUAGUUGGUAAGGUAACGGCUUACCAAGUCAACGAUGCGUAGCCGACCUGAGAGGGUGAUCGGCCACACUGGAACUGAGACACGGUCCAGACUCCUACGGGAGGCAGCAGUAGGGAAUCUUCCGCAAUGGGCGAAAGCCUGACGGAGCAACGCCGCGUGAGUGAUGAAGGUCUUCGGAUCGUAAAACUCUGUUAUUAGGGAAGAACAAAUGUGUAAGUAACUAUGCACGUCUUGACGGUACCUAAUCAGAAAGCCACGGCUAACUACGUG
rnacentral:rRNA from 1 species